GAUGAACGCUGGCGGCGUGCCUAAUACAUGCCAGUCGAGCGAACGGACGAGAGGCUUGCUUCUCUGAUGUUAGCGGCGGACGGGUGAGUAACACGUGGAUAACCUACCUAUAAGACUGGGAUAACUUCGGGAAACCGGAGCUAAUACCGGAUAAUAUUUUGAACCGCAUGGUUCAAAAGUGAAAGACGGUCUUGCUGUCACUUAUAGAUGGAUCCGCGCUGCAUUAGCUAGUUGGUAAGGUAACGGCUUACCAAGGCAACGAUGCAUAGCCGACCUGAGAGGGUGAUCGGCCACACUGGAACUGAGACACGGUCCAGACUCCUACGGGAGGCAGCAGUAGGGAAUCUUCCGCAAUGGGCGAAAGCCUGACGGAGCAACGCCGCGUGAGUGAUGAAGGUCUUCGGAUCGUAAAACUCUGUUAUUAGGGAAGAACAUAUGUGUAAGUAACUGUGCACAUCCUGACGGUACCUAAUCAGAAAGCCACGGCUAACUACGUG
rnacentral:rRNA from 1 species